rnacentral:rRNA from 1 species
UACGAAGGGGGCUAGCGUUGCUCGGAAUUACUGGGCGUAAAGGGAGCGUAGGCGGACAUUUAAGUCAGGGGUGAAAUCCCAGAGCUCAACUCUGGAACUGCCUUUGAUACUGGAUGUCUUGAGUGUGAGAGAGGUGAGUGGAACUCCGAGUGUAGAGGUGAAAUUCGUAGAUAUUCGGAAGAACACCAGUGGCGAAGGCGACAUACUGGCUCAUUACUGACGCUGAGGCUCGAAAGCGUGGGGAGCAAACAGG